GUGAGACAGUUCGGUCCCUAUCUGUCGUGGGCGCAGGAAAUUUGAGAGGAGCUGUCCUUAGUACGAGAGGACCGGGAUGGACGUACCGCUGGUGCAUCAGUUGUUCCGCCAGGAGCAUGGCUGAGUAGCUACGUACGGACGGGAUAAGCGCUGAAAGCAUCUAAGCGUGAAGCCCCCCUCAAGAUGAGAUUUCCCAGUAUGUAAGACCCCUUGAAGACGACGAGGUAGAUAGGUUGGAGGUGGAAGUGCAGCAAUGCAUGGAGCUGACCAAUACUAAUCGGUCGAGGGCUUAUCCAAA
rnacentral:rRNA from 2 species